GGCAAAAAUCAUUUUCUGCCCCGAAUACAUUAGCAUGGGAUAAUGGAAUACCCCCCUGUCCUCCUAUUUUCAGUUGGUUUUGGCAGCGCCAGGACUAGGGUAAUGAUUAAUAGGGAUAGUUGGGGGCAUUCCUAUUUAAUUG
rnacentral:rRNA from 1 species